UACGUGGAAGACUAGUGUUAUUCAUCUUUAUUAGGUUUAAAGGGUACCUAGACGGUUAAUUUAGCUUAUAUUAAAAGUACGUAUUAACUAGAGUUUUAUAGGAGGGGAUAGAACUUAUGAUGUAGAGAUAAAAUUUGAUAAUAUCAUAGGGACAGGUAACGGCGAAAAGCAUUCUUCUAUCUAAAACUGACGUUGAGGGACGAAGGCCUGGUAGCCAUAAGG
rnacentral:rRNA from 1 species